AUGGACCCCGACAGGCCCUGGCAAGGCCUACCGUCGUUCAGUGUUGAUGUGGGCAUGGGCAUUUUUUAUAGCCUUGUGCACAUCCAGUUGGGAGAUGGUAAAUUCCUCCUAUUUUGGAGAGACCAUUGGAUGAAUGGUGCGGUAGUUGCAGACAUAACGCCCCUUGUCCUAGAGAAGGUAGCUACGAGAUGCGUCAACAAAAGAACAGUCCAUGAGGCCCUAAGCAGCCUAAGCUGGAUCACAGGAGUAGGUCUAGGCCUGACACCACAGGGUCUUCGGCAGUUCUCAAACCUUUGGUCGGCUGUCAGCAUCAUCUCUCUAAAUAAUGACACCCCACACCCCUGGCAUUUUCUCCUGGAGAUGGAGUGCCUUCGGUCAGUACUCGGCGCAAUCUACAUACAAGAUGAUGUGCCAUGGCAUGAUUCGCCUGCCCGCUGCUCAUUGCAUAUGGAAGAGUUGGGCGCCGCUCAAAUGCAAAAUAUUCAUAUGGCUUGCUCUCCAGUAUCGGGUCUGGACCUCGGAUAG
rnacentral:rRNA from 1 species